GACUUCUGGUUUAAUGCACCUGGCCCGCGGCUCUUUAGGCUUGUGAGUGCCGGCGCGCGUUUACCAUCCUUCUGGGGAACGGGUCUACCCUUAACUGGGCCGGAUUCGGGAUCCAGAUCAUUUACUUUGAAAAAAUUAGAGUGUUUAAAGCAGGCUAUUGCUAUGAAUACAUUAGCAUGGAAUAAUAAUCUAGUAUAACUGAAGUAAUGAUUGAUAGGGAUAGUUGGGGGUGCUAGUAUUGGCCGGUCAGAGGUGAAAUUCUUGGAUUCGGUCAAGACUAACUUAUGCGAAAGCAUU
rnacentral:rRNA from 1 species